AAGGAAUGCCAAGAACUGCUAAUUCUUCAAACCAUGGUUCGAUUCCAUGGCUUGCUCA
rnacentral:tRNA from 1 species